UGGAUAACGUGUGAAUCUGGAGAUGCUUC
rnacentral:piRNA from 1 species